UGAGAGUCGAGCGGAUGACAGGAGCUUGCUCCUGGAUUCAGCGGCGGACGGGUGAGUAAUGCCUAGGAAUCUGCCUGGUAGUGGGGGACAACGUUUCGAAAGGAACGCUAAUACCGCAUACGUCCUACGGGAGAAAGCAGGGGACCUUCGGGCCUUGCGCUAUCAGAUGAGCCUAGGUCGGAUUAGCUAGUUGGUGAGGUAAUGGCUCACCAAGGCGACGAUCCGUAACUGGUCUGAGAGGAUGAUCAGUCACACUGGAACUGAGACACGGUCCAGACUCCUACGGGAGGCAGCAGUGGGGAAUAUUGGACAAUGGGCGAAAGCCUGAUCCAGCCAUGCCGCGUGUGUGAAGAAGGUCUUCGGAUUGUAAAGCACUUUAAGUUGGGAGGAAGGGCAUUAACCUAAUACGUUAGUGUUUUGACGUUACCGACAGAAUAAGCACCGGCUAACUCUGUGCCAGCAGCCGCGGUAAUACAGAGGGUGCAAGCGUUAAUCGGAAUUACUGGGCGUAAAGCGCGCGUAGGUGGUUUGUUAAGUUGGAUGUGAAAGCCCCGGGCUCAACCUGGGAACUGCAUUCAAAACUGACAAGCUAGAGUAUGGUAGAGGGUGGUGGAAUUUCCUGUGUAGCGGUGAAAUGCGUA
rnacentral:rRNA from 1 species